rnacentral:lncRNA from 1 species
GUCUUCCACCUGUGACUCCCUUUACAGAGGACUGUACUUCCUGCCAACUGGGCUGCGGUGCCCUGCCUCCGGGCUCUCCGCACUCACCCUUGCCUGGCAGGUCUGGAAGGACUCAGGGCUAUUUGGUUCUUGGAGCGACCCUUUGACUGCAUCUUCUCACCACCACCUCCUCAGCGGUUAUUUUAGUCAAGCGUUAUAACCAGGAUGAAGAAAAAAAGUACAGCUGAGGCCAUUUCUGUAACUUGAGUUAUGGUCCUAAUGGGAAGACCCAACAAGUCUGGAGAAGUGAAGACAGCCAUGCAUUUGCUUUUGGAUGGAGGAAGACAAUGUGAAAGAACAAAUAGUGAGACGCAGCUGAUAGACGGAAAACACUAGCAACCCGAGCAUUGGAAACAGGCAGCAGAGACUGCUGAAGCCGCGCCCCUGAAAGAGCAACAAAAGGAGGAACAGACUACAUUAUUGAAGACAAGGAUGUCCCCAGAAGCUCUCCGGUAUCUGACUGACUGAAUUGUUGCCUCUGUACAGUUGUUGCUGUGGAUUGUCCAGUGCUGGUAUGUGCUUUCCUUUCUGCAUCGAUGGUAAUGGCGAUGCACACACAGAGUCAAGUGGAGUUUAAUCUUUAAGAAGACACACAUUCAUCUAAAAUUAAACCCAAACAUUCUUGCACAGAGUGAUGUGCAAGGCUCUUAAGAAUAAAUGGUCUCAGAUGGCUUUUGUAUGGACCAGAAGGUCUCAAGGCCACCCACUACACAUGGCUGUAUGUAUAUUUAAUCUAUUGCUGUUCAUGCUUUCAUUCCCUCUCUUUUUAAUCCUAUCCACCCCCCUCAUCAUUUUAUAAUGCCAGUUUUGUUUUGGUGGGGAAAUUCUCUAGAAUAUUCUUCUAAAGGCUUUUAGAAUAAUGAAAAUUUAACAUGCACAUCCCGUGAACAAAUGUGAUAUGAUGAAUCAUGCGUUUUAAAUGAUAAUAGACAGAAAUAUCCAAGCAUAUUUCAAGGUAUUAACUAAUAUGUGCAUUGUGUUUGCUUUUGUAUCAAAUGUAAUAGCUCCUAUUGGACAUGCUUUUUCAA